UGAACCGUCGGGGGUGGGACCCAAAUUGUGGCACAUUGUGCCACCUUUUGCCCUGCCCUGUCUGAACACACCCAUGAUUUUUGCGUACUAUUUGUUUCCUGGGUGGGCAAGCCCACCCACUGGACAUUUUAAAACCUUUUGUAAUUGCAGUCAGCGUCAGACAAAUAUAAUCGUUACAACUUUCAACAACGGAUCUCUUGGUUCU
rnacentral:misc_RNA from 1 species